rnacentral:rRNA from 1 species
CUUAAGCAUAUCAAUAAGCGGAGGAAAAGAAACCAACAGGGAUUACCUCAGUAACGGCGAGUGAAGCGGUAACAGCUCAAAUUUGAAAGCUAGCUCUUCUAGGGUUCGCAUUGUAAUUUGUAGAAGAUGCUUCGGGUGUGGCCCCGGUCUAAGUUCCUUGGAACAGGACGUCAUAGAGGGUGAGAAUCCCGUAUGUGACUGGGUGCUUUCGCUCAUGUGAAGCUCUUUCGACGAGUCGAGUUGUUUGGGAAUGCAGCUCAAAAUGGGUGGUAAAUUUCAUCUAAAGCUAAAUAUUGGCCAGAGACCGAUAGCGCACAAGUAGAGUGAUCGAAAGAUGAAAAGCACUUUGGAAAGAGAGUUAAACAGUACGUGAAAUUGUUGAAAGGGAAGCGCUUGCAACCAGACUUGCGCGCUGAUGAUCAUCCGGGCUUCUGUCCGGUGCACUCGUCUGCGCUCAGGCCAGCAUCGGUUUCGGUGGUGGGAUAAAGGCCUUGGGAAUGUAGCUUCUUUCGGGGAGUGUUAUAGCCCUCGGUGCAAUGCCGCCUACUGGGACCGAGGACCGCGCUUCGGCUAGGAUGCUGGCGUAAUGGUUGUAAGCGACCCGUCUUGAAACACGGACCAAGGAGUCUAACAUCUAUGCGAGUGUUUGGGUGUCAAACCCAUACGCGUAAUGAAAGUGAACGGAGGUGAGAACCCUUAAGGGUGCAUCAUCGACCGAUCCUGAUGUCUUCGGAUGGAUUUGAGUAAGAGCAUAGCUGUUGGGACCCGAAAGAUGGUGAACUAUGCGUGAAUAGGGUGAAGCCAGAGGAAACUCUGGUGGAGGCUCGCAGCGGUUCUGACGUGCAAAUCGAUCGUCAAAUUUGCGUAUAGGGGCGAAAGACUAAUCGAACCAUCUAGUAGCUGGUUCCUGCCGAAGUUUCCCUCAGGA